CAAACUCAAAGUCUUAACUUUAAACCCAAUGUGAAAACAUAACCUUUAUUUUGCUUCGGUAGCAGGUGCCUGAGCCGUUUCGUACGUAACAGUCUUAACGGUUCCUGUGCCGUAAGCCUGCCGGCAGCAAACUUUAUUAAACUCGCUUUUGAAUCUGUCUGUCAAAUAUCAUUUACGAAUGAAUAUUA
rnacentral:misc_RNA from 1 species